CACGCGCUGCGGCAGCUGACAGUUUCAGUAAACCACGGAGACGAACGGAUUACGGGCGACGCUGGCAAAAUUGAAACAAUAAAGCAGAAACAGCAACAGCAACAGAAACAGAGACCACAAAAUAAUAAUAGCAAUAGUUUGAUAAUAGGCGGACAGCUUAGGCAGCUCCAAUAAAAUCAUAGCAAUAAUCCA